CUCUGUGACUCCUACGGGAGGCAGCAGUGGGGAAUAUUGCACAAUGGGCGCAAGCCUGAUGCAGCCAUGCCGCGUGUGUGAAGAAGGCCUUCGGGUUGUAAAGCACUUUCAGUUGUGAGGAAGGUGGUGUCGUUAAUAGCGGCAUCAUUUGACGUUAGCAACAGAAGAAGCACCGGCUAACUCCGUGCCAGCAGCCGCGGUAAUACGGAGGGUGCGAGCGUUAAUCGGAAUUACUGGGCGUAAAGCGCAUGCAGGUGGUUUGUUAAGUCAGAUGUGAAAGCCCGGGGCUCAACCUCGGAACUGCAUUUGAAACUGGCAGACUAGAGUACUGUAGAGGGGGUAGAAUUUCAGGUGUAGCGGUGAAAUGCGUAGAGAUCUGAAGGAAUACCGGUGGCGAAGGCGGCCCCCUGGACAGAUACUGACACUCAGAUGCGAAAGCGUGGGGAGCAAACAGGAUUAGAUACCCUUGUAG
rnacentral:rRNA from 1 species